rnacentral:antisense_RNA from 1 species
AUGGGGGAGAGGCUACACAGGGGAGAGGCCGCGCGCUGGGGAGACGGCCCCUGCGGGAAGACUCCGAGGCAAUCUGCUGCAGCUCCUUCUGGCUGAAUCUGGUUCAGGAAAUAAAACCAGCCCUUCUGUACAGCCAUGCCAGGCAGGAAAAUGGGCACCUCUGGCGACCCAGGCUGGCUGAAAGCCUGCAGGGAAGAGCCUUAUGCACGUGUGGGCUGGCAGGACUGCAGCUGGGGUCUCCAUCUACUGCUACAAAGGCAAGGAGGAAAAACGGGGGGGCCCGGAGAUGGCCCCUCUAAGUCUGUAACUCCAGAGCUGCUGCUCAGUCCCCGGAAUGUCACCUCCGAGCAGAGCCUGUGACAACUGUCAACUGUGAAGCUGUGGCGUGGGUUGCUACUGAAGCUCUGAAGUCAGCGAGGACACAGCACGUUUGUUCUAGACCGUUUGGCUGCUGGAGGAAGCUGUACAUGCACACACUCGCCUUACCACCCUGCGAGUCCACAGGCCCCUCCCCGGAGUCACCUCCAGGUAAAGGGGGCCCUGCGUAGGGACUUGCUCUCUGGGGCGCUGAGAUGCUCUAAAAUGAACUGUGCUGCAGUGCACAGCCGCCCGACUGUGCACCCACAACGGGGAACUGAACGCUGCAUGAAUUACAUCUCCAAGUUGUUCUUUGAAAAGGCUUAGGGUCCCUGGAAGACCCUCGCCCACACCCAGCGUGGAGCGUUGUUGCUCACGUGGCCGCACCUCUCGGGAUGGCCGUGGGUCUCUGUGGUUGACCUUAAUCUAGACAAAUGGAGGGUGGCUGGCGGGUGGGCUAGAGGGACAGGUGGAGAACAGGCAUGCGCUGUGCACACACUGCCCCAGCUCUGCCAGCUGAGAACGUCUGUGAACAAUGAGAUCGGAAUAGCAAGGGCCCAGCCAGAUCCGCUUCUAAACACCACCCUCCCCUCACAGGAGCUAGAGCUCUUCAGAGAAAUGAGAGAAUCUGAACAGGGCCCUGGGGCUGUAAACAACUUCACUGAGACAACUAAGGACUGAGGGUUCAAGGGUUGGACACAGUGAGGCAGGUGAGUGGAACCACAGGUGCUUCCUGUCCUGGUCACAAAGUCAAAGUGGCUGGGCCAAGUGUCCUGAGAAGUGUCACUUCCUGGGAUCCCAUCAGCCUGGCCAUAGCAGAACGCCCAUCCCCGAGGCUCAACUCAACACAUGCAGCCACUGUAGAAAAGUCUGGAAAGUAGUUCUUCAAGCAACUAGACACGGUGAGCAUAAAACCCAGCCAUAACACUCCUAGGCAUCUGUCCCAGAGGAAUGAAAACAUCCCUCCCCUGAAAACUCAUCCUUACGCAGCAGCGUGACUCAAGACGGCCAAAGGCAGAAACACCCCAAAUGUCCAUCAGUGGACAAACGGGCAGACGCAAUGCACUGUCUGUACCAUGGGAUGUCACUCAGCCAUAAGAAGGAAAGAAUCCAUGGUGUGGAUGAGCCCUGGAACCACGGUGAUGCGUGGAAACAGCCAGACGCAAAAGGCCACGUGCCGCGUGAUCCCGUAACACAUGGCCAGAACAGACAUGGCCCGGAACCUGAAGCUGGGAGGAUGCGUGCAGGUGGCGGGGAGACAGAGGGGCGAUGGCUAAGGCAUACCCAAUUUCUUUUGGGCUGAAAAUGGUCUAAAGUUGACUGUGGUGAUGGCUGUACAACUCUGAAUAUGCUGAAAACUCGAAUUAUACACUUCAGUUGGGCGAACUGUACUCUGUGAAUUACCUCUCGAUGAUUCUCUCCUGGGCUCAAGUGCUUCUCCUGCCUUGGCCUCCUGAGUAGCUGGAACUACCAUUCAUGUGGGGAAAUAAAACAACUCAGUCUCAAAAAAAAAACUCAACUCAAAACUCAGUCUCAAAAAUAAAACAAAAAACAAAGUAAAAGAGACUACCAA